AGAAUCAACGCUGGCGGCGUGCCUAACACAUGCAAGUCGAACGAGAAAGUGGAGCAAUCCAUGAGUAAAGUGGCGCACGGGUGAGUAACACGUGACUAACCUACCCUCGAGUGGGGAAUAACUUCGGGAAACCGAGGCUAAUACCGCAUAAAACCUAAGGGUCAAAGGAGCAAUCCGUUUGAGGAGGGGGUCGCGGCAGAUUAGUUAGUUGGCGGGGUAAUGGCCCACCAAGACGAUGAUCUGUAUCCGGCCUGAGAGGGCGCACGGACACACUGGAACUGAAACACGGUCCAGACUCCUACGGGAGGCAGCAGUGGGGAAUUUGCGCAAUGGGGGAAACCCUGACGCAGCAACGCCGCGUGGAGGAUGAAAUCCCUUGGGAUGGUAAAACUCCUUUCGAUCGGGAAGAUAAUGACGGUACCGGAAGAAGAAGCCCCGGCUAACUUCGUGCCAGCAGCCGC
rnacentral:rRNA from 1 species